rnacentral:ncRNA from 1 species
GCAAGCCGUGUGAGGGAAAAUCGCAUGCACGUUUUGAUGAGGGGAAAGUGGAGAAAAAAUUAAUUUCCCUACCGACCUACUCUAC